AAGGAGACCACCUGGUAACAGAGACCGCACUUUGAAGGUCCCUUGAGCGGUCGUCUUAGACAGGUUUGAAUGGGACGCUGCAAGGUCUCAGUACAACACAUUGAAGCGUAUCCAACAGGAUCCUGGGAAAGCUCUGCAUGGGCAUGGGUGCACAGCACAGUCAGAACAAUUUAUGCACUGUUUGAGUAGUGUGGAUCACUAUCAAAGAACAUCCAAGAUCGUGUCAUCGUCAAUGCAUGGAAUGGUGUCUGUCUCAGUCUGUUUAUAUACGCAGGUUAAUCAAAUAUAAUAGCAAUAAAGAGAACAAAUUCUGCAGUCAUCGCCACACUACAACGAAGUCAUGAAAGUUUACCAUAAUUAAUUUUAUUGUCACAUUCAUCAGUGGAAUGUCAUGAAUGAAGAGUAACCAUGCUGAACAAUGAUAUACAUUCAAUGAUGUGUUACGAGAACAAAAUACAGUGCCAAAAUAGAAUGAGAGAAGGUGAGACAAUAGAAGUGAAGUGAAAGCUAAGUGCAACAAUAUAUAAAUAACAAAUAACACACCUUAUGUAUUUCUUCUGGUCUGUUACUGGUCAAAUCAUACUAGUUACAUAUCUUUAAUCUUUGUUGGCCUUCCCGCCACUGUUCAUCUGUGUCAUUUCCAACCAUCUGUUUUUUUGACCUGCUGCUGCAUGGUUCUUUGAAGUGCGCACAACCUUCCAAUCAAUCCAAGAUCUGAUUGAAAAAAUCAGCAGGCUUUAAUCUGACUUGUUGGCCUUCACGCCACUGUUCAUCUGUGUCAUUUCCAACCAUUUGGUUUUUUUGACCUGCUGCUGCAUGGUUCUUUGAAGUGCGCACAACGUCCCAAUCAAUCCAAGAUCUGAUUGAAAAAUCAGCAGACUUUAAUCUGACUUGUUGGCCUUCACGCCACUGUUGAUCUGUGUCAUUUUCAACCAUUGGGUUUCGUGUAUAAGUGCUACUGCUUGGUUCUUUAAAGUGCACGCAACCUUCCUUAA